GACCUUAGUUCUGCUCCUCCCAAACUCUCCAAGCAAGGAAAGGCGACUAAGGUGAGGAUUGAAGGCCCACGCCGUCUCUGAUUUGGAACGGACGAGGAGGCUGUGGGAUACUUGGACAUAAAAAUCCAAGCCAGAGGAGAAAAAUCAAAAACACUUAUCAACAGCUUUACAAUAAGUCCAUUGAUGCUCUCCAUUCUGAACUCUUUGGAGAUUUCAGAGUAAUUUUCUACAAUCCUUUACGCUUCCCAUUUCUUAUAAUUAAUAUAUGGGAAGAAAAAAUCCUUAACUUUUAAUGUCAUUUGUCUACCUUAUCAUGUGAAUUGUUCAUUCAAAGGCCAUAUUAAAUGUCUUGCAUAAGCAUGAAAAACGCAUUCCUUGUUGUUAUCUGUUAUUUUUCCUCUGUAUUGUAUGAUACUACCACUUUCUAAUUAUUCUGGUUCAUAAAAGAUUUAGCAAAGAAAAGUGUUUGUUAAAGAAUGUGAAUACAAGCUUUGUUUCAAUCUCCCGUUUUUUGUUAUUG